rnacentral:rRNA from 1 species
AGAGUUUGAUCCUGGCUCAGAUUGAACGCUGGCGGCAUGCUUUACACAUGCAAGUCGAACGGCAGCACAGGGAGCUUGCUCCCGGGUGGCGAGUGGCGCACGGGUGAGUAAUACAUCGGAACGUGUCCUAUUGUGGGGGAUAACUGCUCGAAAGGGUGGCUAAUACCGCAUGAGACCUGAGGGUGAAAGCGGGGGAUCGCAAGACCUCGCGCAAUUGGAGCGGCCGAUGCCCGAUUAGCUAGUUGGUGAGGGUAAAGGCUCACCAAGGCGACGAUCGGUAGCUGGUCUGGAGAGGACGACCAGGCCACACUGGGACUGAGACACGGGCCCAGACUCCUACGGAGGCA